GCUGACGAGUGGCGGACGGGUGAGUAAUGUCUGGGAAACUGCCUGAUGGAGGGGGAUAACUACUGGAAACGGUAGCUAAUACCGCAUAACGUCGCAAGACCAAAGAGGGGGACCUUCGGGCCUCUUGCCAUCGGAUGUGCCCAGAUGGGAUUAGCUWGUWGGUGGGGUAACGGCUCACCUAGGCGACGAUCCCUAGCUGGUCUGAGAGGAUGACCAGCCACACUGGAACUGAGACACGGUCCAGACUCCUACGGGAGGCAGCAGUGGGGAAUAUUGCACAAUGGGCGCAAGCCUGAUGCAGCCAUGCCGCGUGUAUGAAGAAGGCCUUCGGGUUGUAAAGUACUUUCAGCGGGGAGGAAGGGAGUAAAGUUAAUACCUUUGCUCAUUGACGUUACCCGCAGAAGAAGCACCGGCUAACUCCGUGCCAGCAGCCGCGGUAAUACGGAGGGUGCAAGCGUUAAUCGGAAUUACUGGGCGUAAAGCGCACGCAGGCGGUUUGUU
rnacentral:rRNA from 1 species